CCUUCAUUCGAUAGCUCAGCUGGUAGCGCGGAGGACUGUAGAUCCUUAGGUCGCUGGUUCAAUUCCGGCUCGAAGGA